rnacentral:rRNA from 1 species
AUGGGGGGACCAUCCUCCAAGGCUAAAUACUCGUAAUCGACCGAUAGUGAACCAGUACCGUGAGGGAAAGGCGAAAAGAACCCCGGGAGGGGAGUGAAAUAGAUCCUGAAACCGUGUGCAUACAAACAGUAGGAGCGGACUUGUUCCGUGACUGCGUACCUUUUGUAUAAUGGGUCAGCGACUUACAUUCAGUGGCAAGGUUAACCAUAUAGGGAAGCCGUAGAGAAAUCGAGUCCGAACAGGGCGUCCAGUCGCUGGGUGUAGACCCGAAACCAAGUGAUCUACUCAUGGCCAGGAUGAAGGUGCGGUAACACGCACUGGAGGUCCGAACCCACUAAUGUUGAAAAAUUAGGGGAUGAGCUGUGGGUAGGGGUGAAAGGCUAAACAAACUUGGAAAUAGCUGGUUCUCUCCGAAAACUAUUUAGGUAGUGCCUCAAGUAUCACCAUCGGGGGUAGAGCACUGUUAUGGCUAGGGGGUCAUCGCGACUUACCAAACCAUUGCAAACUCCGAAUACCGAUGAGUGCGAGCUUGGGAGACAGACGUCGGGUGCUAACGUCCGGCGUCAAGAGGGAAACAACCCAGACCGCCAGCUAAGGUCCCAAAGAUUGGCUAAGUGGAAAACGAAGUGGGAAGGCUAAAACAGUCAGGAUGUUGGCUUAGAAGCAGCCAUCAUUUAAAGAAAGCGUAAUAGCUCACUGAUCGAGUCGUCCUGCGCGGAAGAUGUAACGGGGCUAAGCCAGUCACCGAAGCUGCGGAUAU